rnacentral:rRNA from 1 species
AUUGAACGCUGGCGGCAGGCCUAACACAUGCAAGUCGAGCGAGCGGCGGACGGGUGAGUAAUGUAUGGGGAUCUGCCCGAUAGAGGGGGAUAACUACUGGAAACGUUUGCUAAUACCGCCUACUUUCGGCUGGACCCACAUGGGAUUAUCUAGUAGGUGGGGUAAAGGCACACCAAGGCGACGAUCUCUAGCUGGUCUGAGAGGAUGAUCAGCCACACUGGAACUGAGACACGGCCCAGACUCCUACGGGAGGCAGCAGUGGGGAAUAUUGGACAAUGGGCGAAAGCCUGAUGCAGCCAUGCCGCGUGUGUGAAGAAGGUCUUCGGGUUGUAAAGCACUUUCAGCGGGGAGGCGUUACCCGCAGAAGAAGCACCGGCUAACUCCGUGCCAGCAGCCGCGGUAAUUC